UGAGGAAUAUUGGUCAAUGGGCGUAAGCCUGAACCAGCCAAGUCGCGUGAAGGAUGACUGCCCUAUGGGUUGUAAACUUCUUUUGUAAGGGGAGAAUAAAUUCUACGUGUAGGAUGAUGACAGUACCUUACGAAUAAGCAUCGGCUAACUCCGUGCCAGCAGCCGCGGUAAUACGGAGGAUGCGAGCGUUAUCCGGAUUUACUGGGUGUAAAGGGCGCGUAGGCGGGACUGCAAGUCAGGUGUGAAAUCUGGGGGCUCAACCCCCAAACUGCACUUGAAACUGUGGUUCUUGAGUGAUGGAGAGGCAAGUGGAAUUCCUAGUGUAGCGGUGAAAUGCGUAGAUAUUAGGAGGAACACCAGUGGCGAAGGCGACUUGCUGGACAUUAACUGACGCUGAGGCGCGAAAGCGUGGGGAGCAAACA
rnacentral:rRNA from 1 species